GACAAACGCUGGCGGCAUGCCUAACACAUGCAAGUCGAACGGACAGAACAGGGAAGCUUUUCGGAGUGGAACUGGAAAGUUAGUGGCGGUUGGGUGAGUAACGCGUGGACAACCUACCUUGUAAAGGGGAAUAACCUCGAGAAAUCGAAGCUAAUACCCCAUAAUAACCUUGCUUCGCAUGAAGUAAGGAGGAAAGGCGGCCUUAGCGCUGUCGAUACAAGAUGGGUCUGCGUCUGAUUAGCUAGUUGGUGAGGUAAAGGCUCACCAAGGCGACGAUCAGUAGCCGGCCUGAGAGGAUGAACGGCCACAUUGGGAAUGAGACACGGCCCAGACGCCUACGGGAGGCAGCAGAGGGGAAUCUUCCGCAAUCGGCGAAAGCCUGACGGAGCACUGGCGCGUGAGUGAAAAAGGCCGUCGGGUUUUAAAACUCUGUCCUUAUCGAAGAAAGGGUGUUGUAGUAAUUGACAAUACUAGGACGGUAGAUGAGGAAGAAGCCCCGGCUAAAUAUGUG
rnacentral:rRNA from 1 species